GCGUUCAUAGUGUAGCGGUUGAUCACGUUGCUUUCCCACGCGGAUUAAGCAGAGGCCGCGGGUUCGAUCCCCGCUGGACGCA
rnacentral:tRNA from 1 species